rnacentral:lncRNA from 1 species
CUGCCAUCCCCUUACCCCCUCCACUGCUGGGUUACAGAUUGUCCUGCCAGUUGUGUUUGUCUGCAUUGCCCUGCUGUUCAGCCUGAUUGUGCCACCCUUUGGUAAGUACCCUAGCCUGGAACUUUAGCCCUGGAUGUACAAUGAGCAGUGUACGUUUGUCAGGUACGUGUUUGUCUUCUGAGCCCAGGGGAGAGGAGGAUUCAAGUAGAUCAAGGGUGAUCACUGUGCUGAGGGUCAAAAGAAUAGAGUCAAGAAUUGCACAGUGGAAGGGGUUUUACCAGCUGUGGCUCAGGCCCCUAUGCAAGCUACUACUGCAUGCAAAGAAUAGAGAACUACUGAAAUAACAGUCUAGUUUUCUGGUGAGUACUUCAGUCAAUAUCUCUAACUGCUGUUUGAUGAACCCAGCCUAAUUCCAUUUUAAGAUUAGGAGCCAUCUCAUCACAAAGUCAUGGAAAGUUAAUUUCUGUUUUACUAUAAAUUACUGCGAUUUCUAAACUUGUUUGGAAUUUCUGCCCAUGCCUUGAACUUACCCAUGCCUGGCUUUCCCUGACCAGAUAACAACACUCUCUAAAACCUUAGUGGCACCUCGUAAAUCCUGGCUCCCCAUGACCAGAUAACAACCCUCUCUGAAACCUCAGUGGCGCCUUAUAAAUUUUGAUGUUGGGAUCUAAAUUUUUUCCCUACCUUGAAAUGUUAAGCCAGGUAGAUCAUUAACCUACUAUAUGCCUUUGUAUUAUGCUUGUCGAAAUCCUUUUAUCUGUAAGUUAACAACCCCUCUUUGCAACUUUUUGUGCUAUAAAACUAUGUUCCUAGAGAGCUGGGGUACUGAUUUCUAGUCCAGAGUUUUGGGAGAGACAGUCCUGGCUAGCUACUGUGUACACAAAUAUAAGCUUGCUUUAAAUUGAUUGAAAGUUGGAGUCAGUGGUCUUUUCUUUCCGUCGUGGUUUAAUACUGUUGUGGGGAACAACCAUAUGUGCCUUAGGUAAAGUAAUCUGCCCUCAAUAAAAAUCUAUGAUUAUUAAAUUUUUAGAAAUGUGCUUUAAUUUCAUGUUCAUCACAGGGCUUUCCUACACUGCAUAAAUUUCCACAAACUUGAUUUCUGCACAGUGUGAUUCUCAUAAUUGUUAUCUGUUAAGCUGUACUUAUUAGCUAGUUUGUAUUCUUUAGACAAAAAUAUCUUUAACUCCAUAGCAAUCUAGUGCUUUAAUUAAGAACAAACGAAUUAUAUGAAUGUUGUUAGGCAAGCUUUUUAUUUUUAGUCCUGUAAGAUUAAUGGCUCUGCUGACAGGGAAGUAUGCUAGUAAUACAGAAGAGAAAGGAAGCUUUUUUAAACAAAAUUCCUACACACACGCACACACGCAUGCACUCAUGUAUUUAUUAGCUCAUUUGCUUUCUUCGAACUCUGUUUUCCAAGCUUAGGUUGUGUUUCCCAGAGCUAUAGAACACAGUUUAUUUUGUGUUUGUUACCUAUACCCAUUAUUGUUUGUGCUUUCUAUUUUCAAUGCAACUACUUGGUCAAUAAAAUCUGUAUACCUUUUCCAGGAAAAUCCUGAUGUAUGUCGAUAAUGGAUAAUUGUGAAAGCCCCUUCUAAAUACUGAUUUUUAAUAUACUGACAUUUAAUACACACACAUAUACACAUACCUUCAUACAUAUUUAUAAAACCUCUAAUUUGGAGUAUUCUAUAUUACCUUGAUGCCAAAUAUUUGGGCAGAGUCUCAGUUUUUCAUAGGUGGUUUCUAUAUUUUAUUCAUUUUGAUUUUAAAACCUGGCUCCCAGAAAGUGCUUAGUAGAUUAUUCUAUGUAGAAAAACAUUUCUUCCUCCCAAUUCCUGAUUUGAAUGAAUUACUGAAUUUGCUUGUAGUUACAGUAAUAAUGCUUCUGAAGACAUAGGCUCCCAGGAACUCUUGAAUACCCUCUCCAGAACACCCUUGCUUUGGGACCUAAAGUAUGGAGAAUGCCAUGUUGGCCACGAGAUUCUCCAUGGCUGGCUUCUUAUGCUUGUCACCUGCUUUGAUUUCUGAUACACUAAAAUUUACCAGCUACAUGCCACAUUAUCAUCAUCAUUUGCCCUUUGAGUUAUUUUUUAUUCUAAAGAGAGUAACUAUAGUAACUUACUCAGAACAUCUGGGAGUAAACAUUUGGAGAGUCUAACAUCCUGGGAAGCAAAUCAUUAUAGACCUUUUUUCACUGCUUUAGAACAUUAAGAUUUAUGUAGCACUUCAUAUUUACUUGUCAAAUGCUUUCUCCUUCUUCCACUUUUCCCAAGUCUUUCACCUACCUGGUACAACAGGCUUUCAUUAUAUAUAAUCUGAAGUUUUGUUGAAUUCUUCCCAUGAAACCUGAAAAUAUCAUACAUUAACUUUUUAUAAUAAUCAAUUUCUUCUUAAGAGUUUCAUAUUUUUAUUAUACUGUCCAUCAGAAUCCCUUUUUAAGGCCUAUAUAAAUUCAGUGAUGACUCAGGAUUCCAACUAUGUUGGUGGGGGAAUGUAAGUCAGAUCACUGAGUAAAGACCAUGAGAAUAGGUAGGCAAUUAUGAGUCCAGUGAUGGCAUGUUUUCAACUCCCUGGGUACAAAGACAAAAGAGACACUGCACCUGAUGCGAAGAGUUCUGUGUUAGUGAAGAACACCACUGAUGUGUGUUGGAGACUAAAUGAAGGAAGAGACUCUGCCCUGACAACUUUGAAUGAAAUUCAAAUGUUAAAGUGUUUGAAUCUGUGUUGGGAUUGAGGGAAAUCUGACUAGGACAUGCCCAUGGGUAUUUAAAUUUUUCUCACCAGUCAUCUUUUAAAAGUUUGCACUACAAGAGGGUACUGUAACUAGUUUGGCUUUUCUAUUUAUUUAAGGAACGUUAAAGAUAACAAACCUCAAAAUUAUUCAUUUGAUGGAUUAUUCAGUACAUAUGAAAAUAACAAAUAUUGUGGCUCUUUAUCGAAUUCUGGAACUGGAAGAGACAUAGGUACAACUCAAUGAAACAACUCAUAUUUUAAUUUUACUAGUGAAGAAAAUAAUCCUACAGAGAGGGCAAGUGACUUGCUGAUGUUUUCUCAGUAAUUCAGAGCUUAAGUCUGAGAUAAAAUCUCCUGGGGUAUUUUAAACAACCUAGCUUUCCUAUACCAAGCACUGUGUCUUAUUCCACUCAGGCUGCUAUUUUAACAACACACAACAAGAUGAGUGGUUUAUAAACAACAAACAUUUAUUCUCAUACUUCUGGAGGCUGCAGAUUCCAAGAUCAGGAUGCUGGCAGAUUUGGUGUCUGGUGUAAAGAUCUGCUCUUUAUAUAUUUGCUGCUUUACUGUAUCCUUACAUGUUGUAAUGGGCAAGGCACUCUCUGGGUCCUUCUUAUAAGGGCACUAAUCCUGUUAAGACCUAAUCACCUCCCCACAGAUCCCACCUCCUAGUCCCACAACGUUGGGGGUUAAGAUUCAGACAUUCAGACUACAGCUCACUCUCAUUCCCUCUCUUCCUCCAGUUCUGUACUCAUUUUCAAAACUGAAGUGAGUCUUGUCAUUCUCCAGAAGAUUUUUAGCACAUUGAACAGGCCUGUGUCAUCUGACUCCUCUGUUUCCCUCUUCCUCAUUUCCCAUUAUUCCUCCUUUUAGUUCAUCACCUUCUAGCCCUACUGCAUCCCCUGUUGUUCCUUGUAUAUAAAAACUCAUUCUUUCUGAGGAUAUUUGUACCUAUGCUUUUGUUGACUUUGGUUGUAGUGCUUUAGUGUAUAACUGAGCAAAUGGAGGGGUGGGCUGGUAGUUUCUGUUUGUGAUCAGGAAUGAAUGAAAUAUCAUGUCAUGUUUGAGCUGUGAUCUUAAAAAGCAUAUGAGCUUCGAGGGGAGGAGUUUUGGACCACAUUGUGCCUCUGUGUGAGGGAACUUAGCUUUUUUCUCUUGAGAUCAGCAUAGGUUUGUUUUAGUUAAAAUCAGAGCAAAAUACUCUGGAUGAAUGGGCUAUGGAAGACAUGCUAUGGCCUGUUCCAAAGUGGUGGAGCCAUAGGAGACUGUCACAGAUCUAACAUCUAACUGCCACAAGUUAGCUAUGGGCCUUCUACAGGUGAAAUUAACACAUAGGCCUCUUUCUCUUUUUUUUUUUUUUUUUUUUGUGGUGCUGGGGAUUGAACCCAGGGCCUUGUGCAUGCAGGGCAAGCAGUUUGCCAACUGAGCUAUAUCCCCAGCCCACGUAGGCCUCUUUCUUCACUUCUGGAUUAGGGAGGCUGAAUCAGAAAACUUUUGUAGGCCUUAUCAAUUCUGUCAUUUUCUGAUAUUCUAACUUUGGGAAGGACAUCUGAGCCAUUUUUUUUCCUGACAAUUUCAGGAAUGGGGUAUUGAUUGUGAUGGCUCUCUGCAAUUUUAUCAGCAUAUAGGUUGCAAGGUAAGGACAAUCGAUUUUAAGUGGAUGUGAGAAGUCAUGGUUACCACCCUAAAAUAACUGCUAAUCCAGACAUCAGUAUAACCCCAAUGAACACAAAAACUCAAUAGGCAUAGUUUACAGUUUUGCUCCUUAACAUCUCUUGUGGUGAAGAAAAAUCACAUCUCAGUGCUUAUUGUUUAGCUAUUUAGAGUAAUUCCCCAGGGAAGAUCUUGGCAUGCUAUAUAUGAACGACCAGUACUGAGGGCAGCAUGGACCAGAUCUUGGUGGUGGUUGGUGGAGGGUGAUGCCUGGGCCCUGUGGUUAGGGCUCCAGUCAUAUAAUGGCAUGUGUUGGAAGAACAUGUGUCACUGUAGCCCUUGAUAUGUUUUUUGUGCCAAUUCUUGUCUAAGAAGACACACAUGCUUGAUUUUUAUGUGGUGACAGAGAAAACAGAACACUGCAGACAUCCUUCAGAAUCUGAUGGGAAGGAACAUCUCAGAUUACCUAGUGAAAAUGUAUGUGCAGAUCAUAGCCAAAAGGUAACUCUUUACUAAUUGUAGUCCAUGCUUUAUCAUCAUUGAUUAGAGGAAAUGAAGGCCUACAAAUAGUGCACCCCCUGGGGGGAUUGUCAGAUUAUGGUUUGAUGUUUCUACUGCAAAGUUAGGAUGUUAUCCCUAACUAGACAUGAUGGCGAGAGCUAUCGGUGAAUAUUCAAUUUUCAGCUAAAAGUUUGAGGCAGGCUGGUCUAGAAUGAAACAAAGUAUGGAUUCAAAUUUGACUUCUGCCACUUACUAGUUGCUUGAUCAGAGACAACCCAUUAUCCUUUUAAAGUUCUUGUUUAUAUAAAAUAUAAUGUUAAUGUUAUUCAUAAAACUUUGUUGUUAGGAUUAAGUGAAAUGAUGUACAUAAAGUGUUUUAGAUCCUUUCUCACAGAUGGACUCUAAUACAUGGAAUCAUGAGGAGAGCCCUGGGACGACUGAGCCUAUUUUGACUGUGGAAUUUUUUUUUAAACAGCCUUAUAGUUUCCAGACAUCAUAGUACACUGUUGAAUACUUAGCUGAUGCUCUAGAAUGCUUUUUUAAAUUUUCUUCCCAACACCUUGGUCAGCUGAGUCUCUAGGUUAGUAGUUCUCAAUGACUUCAGAUGGUAAGAAUGUGCUGGAGUGAUAAUGAGCAUGAAUUUCAGAGAAAGAGGCAUGAUGUACAAAUAUGUCAUGUAUAAUGCAAAUAUUACUUUGAAAUGAAAAAGCUUCUAGUUGGUCAAACUUUGAUCUGUAAGGUGGUUUUUAAAAUUUGGCUCAUUCAAGGAAUGUUUUUCAUCUCCUACUUACUCUUUCCCCAAAGUCAGAUUUCCAGUUGAUCAUAGGGACUCAAGAAGUAUUCAGGCCUUUGGCAUGGGCCCAAGAAGGACUGGAAUAAUAGAGGUAUCAAAACUGCCUAUAUUCCUUUCUUUUCCUUCUGGGUUUUGAAGGACCAUCAGGAACUAAGGAAGACUAGGGAAAAGAAUAAUUCUUAAAGUCAAUUUAUACCACUGGAAAACAAAGUACCUUACAUGGCUGCCUCAAAAAUUAUCUCUAUUAUUGCUUCUCAGCUUUCCUUUGUGCCAUUUCCCCAAGGUCCAGGACCCAUAGAACUCUUGAGCAGAACAGAAGCAGACCCUUAUAGUUAGCUUGUCUCAUACUAGAGAGAAAGUCUGUCCACGGUGACUGCAAUUAAUACUACCUCCACCACCCAGUUUCCUAUGUGAAAUCUUUUCAAAGGAACAUCAAGAAAAAAACUCUUAAAUAUAAAUCAGAGCUAAUGGCUCUAAUGUCUUUGAUAGGUUUUUACCUCCAGAGUCAAAAGUAUUCUUUGCCUUACUAUGAAAUUAAUCUGUCCUUUGGAUUUCUGAGGGCUCAAUAAGUGAGAAGUGACAUACUUCUUGUUUUUCAAUUUUAUCUCAGACAUAAUUCAUUAUGUUAUAUUUUCAAUACAUGUUAAGAAUUAACAUAAUAAAAUCAAUAAAAAAUUAAAAUAAUAUAGUUGUAAAUACAGCUAUGAGGAAACUUGGAAGUAUGAAAUCUCUUUUAAGUUGGAAGCACUCAAAACAAAAACUAAAUUUGUAGCACAUCUGUGGAAGUACUAAAGAAGUCUCAUCCUGAGUUUGGUAGCAUACUGUUAAAGCAACAGCUUCAGAGAUGAUAAAAAUAUAAAACUUAGAAAAAUAAUCAGAAUAUACAGGUAGGCUUUUAUUAGGUCAAACAUUUCCAUAUCCAUGAAGAUCACAUUCAAACAAAGAUAUCUCAAGCAUCUUAUGUUAAGUAGGAUCCAAAAUAAAGUAAAUAUUUGUAAAAUUAAUUAUAAAUGAAGACAUUUCAGCAUACAAACCAAAGAGUCUUCAAAGACUUUAAAUACCAGGACCUAAUAAUUUUAUUUUCCAGUUCAGUGACAAUAGAGCUAAUGUGUGACCAUAAUUAACACAGAUGACACAAAUGAUAAUGUACUUUUCCAUGGCAAAUAAAUAUGUUUAAUAUUCUCAUGAAUACCAUUUGAUAUUACAAAAUAAACUUUACUUGACAAAAAUUUGGAAAAUCAGGAAAACAGACACGAUUAAAAGUUUGACAAUGUAUAUUAAUAAUUUAAAACUAUUGUUUCAAUCAUGGAAAUAUAACAUUAGUAUUUGAAUAAAGGUUUGUCAACAUACAGAAGACAUCCUCUGAAAUGAAUGAAAAAUCAAGAUCUUGAAAUAGUGGCAAGUAUCUUUGUUAAGUAGAAUGCAAAAUGAAGUAAAUAUUAGUACAAUUAAUUAUAAAUGAAGGCAUUUCAGCAUGUAAACCAAAGAGUCCUCAAAGAUUUUUAAUCUCAGGACUGAAUAACAUUAUUUUCCAAAUGGUAGAUAUUUUUAAUGUGUGAUAGAUAUUGAAAUGCCUUGGGAAAAAUGAACUUUUUACUUCCUAAAGUGGUGGUGACAAACAAGGGAGAGCUUUAUAAAAUGCAAGGGACAUAGUAAAUUAAUUUAUCACCUCCUUAAAAUAAAAGUGAGAAUAAUUCUCUUGGGAGAACUUAAACACCAUUAGCAGACACAUUUUAUACCAAUUAAUGAAAUCUUUUGUGUUUCAGUAGAACACUAUUUCAAUGGUGAAAAUGAUGCAGGAAUCAGAAGCAUAUUCUGCUGAGACACUAGGUAGUUGACACUUUCCCGAACUGGAAAAACAUUUCAUAAGAAGGCAUAUAAAGUUAUUGAGCAAAUCAAGUUUAUUGUAAAAAUAACCCAUGCCUAGUGAAAUAGCUUACCAGCUGCCACGACUCUGGGAUCCUCAUGGGAAUGAUGCCUCCCAGCUGCACGACUAUCUGCACUCUCAUUCCACCAAAGAACAUGAACUGCAGAAAUAAACCAAAAUUGUUUCUAAAGAGUAUGACAUUGACAUUGCCAUGGGCAAAAGAAUAAUUCUUAAAGUGAGAGUGAGUAAAAAAAUCCUAUUAUUUUAAAUUAAAAUGUCAGUAAAUAAAUAUUUAGAUGAUAAGAUUUCAGAGGAAUCAGAGACUUGAGAAAGAAAUUUAUACAUGAAUUAAUCAAACUCUCUCUCUCUCUCUUUUUUUAGGUGUAAAAACAGAAAGCUGGAAAAGGAAAGUAAGGUAAGACAGUUAAAGACACACUCAAAUUUCAUGACUUCCCACUACAGUUGACUUUAUUGCAAAAAACCAAGGUUAUAAAAAUUGUGUUUAUUAUAGAAAAUUUAUAUGAAACAAACAGGAAAACAAAAAAUAGCAUAAUGUUAACUACCUAGAGAAAACCCCUAGGGCAUUUCCUUUAAAAGUUAACUUAGGGUCUAUUGUAUAUUAUGCUUACUAAUAGAUUCUUUAAAAUUAACAGUGAUUAUCUUCUGUGGCAAUAAUAUUAUUUUUUAAUGAUGAUAUGGAUUCCUUCAUAAUACACAGCAACUUUUUAUACUAAUCUUUAUUGUUGGCCAUUUAGAUUAUUUCCAAUAUUUCACUAUUCUAUAAAAUUCUGGAAUAAAUAUUCUUGUAUAUAAUUAUUUAUACAUUUUUUUAUAAUUGCAAUGUAAUACAAAGUAGAGGUAUAGAAAAAUACAGAUAAACACAAAGAGAAGCUAGGAAUCAUUUCUGGACUUCCCAGAAAUAACUAGUUUUAUAUUUGGUUUAUGUCUUUCCAUACUAAUACAUAUUAUAUAUACGUUGUUAUGUAUAUGAAAUAUAUGAAUAUUUACAGACAUAUCUAUACAUAUAUUUAUAUCUAUGCAUACAUUUUAUACUACAAAUAUAUAUAGCAUAUUUCUAUAUCACAAAAUAUAUUACAUAAAGAAGGUCAUACCACAUUAUUUAUUAUAUAAACAAUAUUUACAUAAAUUUCAUUUGAACACACCUAUGUAUGUAUCUAUAAUAAUGAUGAUGGUGACUACUAUUGCUAACAUUUAAUUGCCUGGAAUGUGUUUGUCUCUAGUGAUGGAACCUGUCAGGCCUUGGGCAUGCUAAGCAUGUGUUCUACCACUGAAUUAUAUUUGUAGUGCUUUUUAUUUUUAUUUUUAGAUAGAAUCUUGCUAAGUUGCCCAGACUGGCCUUGAAGUUGUAAUCCUCCUGCCUCAGUCUCCUGAUAGCUAGGAUUUCACAUGUGUAAUACCUUGCUUGAUUUUAAACAUUUUUCAUGUGUUAACUCAUUUAGUCCUCAUAAUAAUCUAGAUGGUAGGUUAUUACUAUCAUCAUUGUAUAGAUGAGGAAACUAAGGCCCAGUGAGGUUAACUUACCCAAGGUCAUAAAAUUACUAAGCAAUGGUGCUGGGAUUAAAUCCAGGCUGUUUGUAUCUGUUUAUUUCCUUAACAAAAUCUCCUAAAAUGUAAAGUGAGAGAUCCAAGGAGUAUAUCUUAUAUACAUAUAUAUUUUAAAUUUUCAAAUAGUGUAUAUAUUAUACUGUCUAUAUAUUGUAUGUAUUAUACACUAUCUUCCUAAAAUGGAAGAUAAAUAUAAAAAGAAGCUGUACUGAUUUAUACUCAUCAUGCCACAUUUUCUUAGGAUACUGAAAAUGAAUUUAAGAAUAAAAAAGUUAUAAAAAUCAUACAUACACAAUAUCAGAGAUUAAAAGACAGACUUUCAGUAAUCUUUAAUCUCAUCACUCAAAUAUGACUACUUUACAUACUUUCAAAUUUCUUUCGUAUAUAACUGAAAGCCCUUAUAAAUAUAUGCACUCCUGCAUAUUUUCUAGAAUACUGCCAAAGACAAUGAAAAUAAUUUUUUAUUUAUAUGGCCCAAUUUGGGAAGGAAAGAUUAAUGUGAACCGUAUAUAUUAUAUGAGUACUUAUUUACUCCUGAUCUAACAUUAUACCCAUGUAAGCAAGUCUACAUUAAGUAAAAAGUGAUAUCUGCUUACUAUUUUUAAUCUGCCUCUUCUUUUAUAUUUGACAGUCAUAUGUGUUACUACCUUUACAUAAAUUUUCAUUUCCUUUUUGCUUUUGAAUUUAACUUAUGAUGAUUUGUUCCACAUAUAGAGAGUUUGAGCCUUUUUAUAAUAAAGUCAUCAAAUUUUUUCUUCAUUUUUGUUUCUAUUUUUAGCUUAGGAAUAUAGUCCCCAUUCAUAUUUUUAAGUAAGUUCAUCUACAUAAAGUUUUAGCAACUCUAUGAAUUAAAUUUUCUCAUUGAAAUCUAUUAAAGUCUUGGUUUUAUUUUAGCAUAUAGUAUGAGAUAAUUUUUAUAAUAAUUUUUCUCCUCCAUUAUUUUCCAACGUAAAUAUACAUCUGUUUUUGUAUAUUAUGACCAUUUUCUUAUGAUAAACAGGCUGAAUAUCCCUAAUCCAAAAAUCAAAAAUCUGACAUACUUCUGGUCCAUGCAUUUCAGAAAAGAGAUGAAUUUUCUGUGUUGAGUUGGAAGCUCAGCACUGACUAUAUUAGGUUUCAGAUUUCCAUUGUACAUAAAAUAGAGAAGAUAAAAGGUAACUGCGUAUUAUCAGUCUUUCAAAUAUUUACUAGCUAUUCUUUGUCAUCUGUCCUUUCAGAUAAGCUUUACAAGUAUUUUCAGAAUUUGUCAAAAAAAAUCUUGAAAUUCUGAUGGUAAUAUCUUUCAAAUUUAAAAGUUAAAAUACUCUGGGCUGGGGAUAUAGUCCAGUGGUAGAGCAUUGCCUAGCAUGUGCAUCGUCCUGAGUUCAAUCACCAGGGCUAUGCACACAAAAAAAUACAUUUAAAAGUUAAAUACUCCAAAUACGUAUUUUAUUAAAGAAAUUUAUAUUUACAAAUUUACCAAUGGAUAUGUACAUACAUGUAUAUAAAUACAUGCCUCAAAUAAAAAUGGGUGAAUUUUUAUGGGGCGACUUUAGUAUAAAUAAAUUAAUUAAUACAUGAAUGAAUAAAUAAAUUAUGUUUUUACUCAGAAACAAUCUCCCCAGAAAUGUUGUUUCAAAAAUCAAUAAAAAAAUUCAGAAGAAAAAAUAUUUAAAAGGAAUAGGUUAUUUCUUGAGAUUCUGGCACCUAUUAAAAUUUAAUCAUUUUGAUAAUCAGGAAAAUAGCAGUUUUGUGUUUGAAAAGGCUUCAUAAAGAUGUUAACAUUCUAAAUAAAAAGAUGUGACACAGGUUUUUUUCAACCCUUAAAAUUGACAAAAAUACAAAAAUUUGGCAAUAAAAAAUAAAAUGUACAGUAUGAGAGAGAGAAACGUAUCCAAGGAACUUAUUAGUAGAUCACCACUGAAAUUUUAUAGAUGAAACAGAUAACUAUACCUGUGUUGAGUGCUCCAUAUUCUGCAUGGAAAACACCAACUAAUUUUGUAUAGCCUAGAUUUACAUGGGCAUGAACUGCCCUUUUAAAUGCAUCACCCCACAGAGCUGGGCCACCAGGUUUCAUCUGAAAAGAAGCCAAUUCAUAGACUCCUAAAAUAGAAAGAAAAAGGACUAUUUUACAGAAGACAUUCCAGCAUUUUCUAAUCAUGUCUGUCUUGUUUCCAUGGAAAACUAAUCUACAAAUACAGAUUUAGAGGAUCAUAUAUGGUUACAUAGACAUAUUUAUUGUAUUUGCAUUAUUUUUCUUUGCUUUGGUUAUCAUGCAGAUGAUAAAAAGUCUGGAGUUAUAAAUAUAUAAACUAUGAUCUGAAAUAUUUUAAUAUAAAAAUCUAUUAAUAAAACAGAUAUUAAGAAUUUAUAAUGAAAUUGGAUUUUUGAGCCAAGUCUAUACUUUCAGAAAAGAAUAAAAUAAUUUUCCAAUGUCUCCUAUAUUUUCAUUCUUCUUUCCAAUUUGUACUUUUUUCCAUUUAUAUUUCUCUCUCCUUAAGUUUCUUUUUCUAACAGGAAGAACAUAGAAAACAAUGAAAAUAAAGAAAUGUCUCUAAGUUUUGGAGGAAAAAAACCCAAACAAACCUAAUGAGAUUUUAUUGUCCCUAAAUAUCCAAGUAUGUAGUUGAAAUGUAUCUUAUCUUCUGGACAGAAAUAAAGGACUGGUAGAAAGAAACUAGAGACAAGUAGAUUUGAAAGGUACAGGAAAACAUGCAAAGAUUACUCAGGUUAAUAAAAAAGAGGAAGAGGAUCAACGUUAGACACUGAGAAGUCAACUAUUUUAUCUAGAUAGUGCUGACAGAGAAAGAGAUCUAACUAGGAUCUAAAUAAUUCUUGUCAAGUUUCUUUGUAGUGUAGUCUAAAAACAGAGUUGGAAAUAAAAUAAAUCUAAAUUGAUUUUUCUAUUCUGACCUUGGUUUAAUACUGGAUUGAAGCAAUAGUUUCUUUAAAUCAUCAAGAAGUGAAAUCAGCAAGAAGAUAUAUCUUAAGGAAUUAUUUUCAAACUGAGAAGAAAGAGGAAGACACAAAAGUUAGACACAAAAACUAUAGUGAUAUAGCUUGGUAGAUUCAGUAAAUUCACCCCCCUCAAAUAGUUAAUUUUAUAAGCAAAGGUGUACUAAUGACUUAAGAUUAAUUAUAUUUUGUGGAAAAUAUUCUUAUUUAAAUAUUUAUGUUACCUUAAAAUUAUUCUUUAUUUUCCCACAUGUGGUCCCUAUUUCUAAUGUGCAAUUUCUCAUCUUUAACUGACUAUGUAGACUUUUUCUGUAACAGCUAAACUUAGCAAUGUGUAAAAUUUCAAUUUGGAAAAAUUCCUCAUUAUUUAAUUCUCAUUUUAAGCAUAAGCUGGAAGAUUCAACUUCGUUUUAUCUUAACAACCACAGUAUGUUCCCAUAAAACAAAGGAUUAAUUUCCUUGUUUGCCAGUGGAACUUCACCUUUUAUCACUUAAGAUCUUUAGUAUUUCAUUCAUCUAAAUUCUAAGUGGUGAAGAAGGAAAGUGACUUACCCUCUUUUGGAGGCUUUUCUAAUUUGCACCAUGGCACCAGGUAAGUAAUCUCACUCUCUUGCUUAUCAAUGAGAGCCAAAUUUGGAAUGAGGAAUUGUUCUUGCCAUUCCUUAUCUUUAGCCAAGGCUUUCUGAACUGCAGUUCGAUGAGCAAAAUUCUCUAUGGGAGAAAAGAAUUAAGAAAAAGAAACAUUUACAACUUAAAAUCACCUAUGCUUCUCUGGAUUUCAUCCAAACAACAUUCACCUGCAGCAUAGAGGAACAUUGUUAUGCCUUUGGAGAUAUCAUCACGAAAAGAUGUGACAUCUGUCCUCAAGUUGUUCUUGGGCUUAAGGGGAAUAGAAAUACAAAAUGUCACAGAAUUGGCUUCAUGGGUUCUAUGACUUUGCAGAAACUUGUGUGAAUUAGGUAAGUUACUGUAUCUUUCUGCAUUCUGUUUUUCAGUCUGUAUAAUGGAGAGAAUAUAACAUUGUUGUGAAGGUUAACUGAAUUAACACACAAAAAGAGCCUAGAACAAUGUUUAGCACCCAGUUAGUAUCAACAUUUGUGGACUAAUUAAUUCAGUUGAGGCAUUUAACUGAUAGUGCUAGUUCAGAGAAAGAUCUUUCUUUGGUGGUGGCAGGUGCCCAGGUCAAGAUAAACCUUGAAUCAAAUUACAAUAAAUGAAAUUAAAAUGUAUUUGGUGAGUCUCUUCUCCUUUGAACAAAGAGCCUUCAAAAAAUAGUGUUGAUUCUCUUACUUAUUACCAGCCAUUUUCCCCCCAGCACUUAUUUUUUUUCUGAGUUAUUCCAACAGGUAUCGACAUUUACCCAUAUAUGGGCCUAGCAUUGUAUUUACUAUGAAGACCUUAUAAGACUAAUGAGAAAAGUUUUAUAUGGUUUAUGAUGGUGAUAAUGAAUAACACCUAUCUCACAGCUUAAGUGAGGUAUAUCAGGACUUCAUUAGUUUUCUUAGUGGGCCAUGAUUUAACUUGUAGCACAUCUAAAGCACAAGUUGUGUUUUAAUGGGGCUUGUUUUACUACACUAGGUAAAAACCCUACACUGUGCCCAUAGUUAGGUGUAGAAUGAAUAUUUUUCAUAAUAAAACAUUUAUGAAUAUUAAUCUGGACACUGAUGAUCAAAUUGUAAAUAAAAUUAUUACCAGGUCUUUGGAUAUCCACAAGUCCUGAUAUGACCCUAACAGACUAGAUUGUGGAGAAACAAACAUUCUGGUGACUCUUGAAACUUCUUUUCCUUCCUCAGGGGUAGGUCAGUGUGACAUGGGAAGAACUGAUUCCUUUUCCUUUUGAGUAGUAUGAAAGUAAAUUCCUUGAAACUCUGGGGUGUAAGAAAUGAAACAAAAAAUUGGUUUCUAAACAUAACGGAAAUAUUAAAUCUCAUGGUUGAAUGAAGUUUAAAAUCUGUGAUCCUCUCUAAAUCUCAAUUUACUUAAUGGCCCUAAAUUUUUAAAUUAUUAGACUUCCUCUUUCCUUUUGUGAUCUUAACACGUUUGGGCUUUUUCAAACACCACCUUAAAAUUUUUAUCAACCAUCUUUGUAAUAAACCAUUCUAAAUUUUCUGAGUGUUAAAGCUAGUUUAUAAUUUUAUCAUUUCAUAUAUGAGAAUUAAUGUUUUCCAAGUUAUGGUAAUAUAAGACUUUGAGCAAGGAAUUGUUAGAAGUAGACCAUUGGUGAGAGUAAUCACUGAAUUUACUUUUUUGGUACUGUAUUCCUUUUUAAAUUAAGAUUUUACUUAACCUGUACGUAUCUAUAAAUAUAUAGAUUUAUAAAUAUAGUUUAUAAAUAUAGAUUUAAGAACUAAAUUUCAUGAAACAUGGAACAGAAUGAAAAUCUAUAACAAACACUUAAGUGGAAUGACUCCUACCAUACUUCCAAAUGUGAAACACUUUAUUCAUUCUGCCUCCAAAUUCUACACUCCAACAUCCAACCAAUUCAGAGUGAGCUGUCCGAAGAUGCAUGUUUUUCUUGAUGUUUUCCAGGAACUCAUUCAUCUUCGAGGGUUUAAGUGAAUAGGUAUGAAACUCAUAGAAUGUUCCAUCAUUUUGUCUGGGGCCUGUAGCAAAAGAUGAGCAUACCUGAAGAAAGAUAAGACAAAUUUAAAGAUUUUAGAGAGAGAGAAUUUAUUAUGUUAUAACCAAAUCUAUGUUUGUACUUGUCAAUUCUCUAUAGACUUUUUGUUAUGCAGAGAUUAAAGAUAAAAAUCAUUUUUUGAGGCUAUUGUAAAAAGAGUAGUUUUCCUAAUUUCUCUUUCAGAGGAUUCAAUACUGAUGUACAGAAAUGCAUUUGAUUUAUGGGUGUUGAUUUUAUAUCCUACUUUACUGAAUUGAUUUAUUAGUUCUAGAAGGUUUCUGGUGGAAUUUUUCAGAUCCUCUAAGUAUAGAACCAUGUCGUCAGCCAAAAGUGAUAGUUUGAGUUCUUCUUUUCCUAUUUGUAUCCCUUUAAUUUCUUUUGUCUUUCUAAUUGCUCUGGCUAGAGUUUCAAAAACUAUGUUAAAUGUAAGUGGUGAAAGACGGCAAUCCUGUUGUGUUCCAGUUUUUAGAGGGAAUGCUUUCAAUUUUUCUCCAUUUAGAAUGAUGUUGGCCUUGGCCUUAGCAUAGAUAACUUUUACAAUGUUGAGAUGUUUCCAUUUUCCCUAGUUUUUCUAGUGUUUUGAAAUGAAGGGGUGCUGUAUUUUGUCAAAUGCUUUUUCUGCAUCUGUUAUGAUGAUAUGAUUCUUAUCUUAAGUCUAUUGAUGGGAUGAUGAAUUACAUUUAAUGAUUUCUCUAUGUCGAACCAACCUUGCAUCUCUCAGAUGAACCUCACUUAAUUGUGGUACACUAUUUUUUUUAAAGAGAAAUUAGGAAAACUACUCCAUUUACAAUAGCCUCAAAAAAAAAAAAACUUGGAAAUCAACUUAAUGAAAGAGGUGAAAGAACUCUAUAAUGAAAACUAUAGAACGCUACAGAAAGAAAUUAAAGAAAACCUUACAAGAUGGAAAGAUCUACCUUGUUCUUGGAUAGGCAGAAUUAAUAUUGUAAAAUGACCAUAGUACCAAAAACACUAUGCAGAUUUAAUGCAAUUUCAAUCAAAAUUCCAAUGACAUUCCUCAUAGAAAAAGCUAUCAUGUAAUUCAUCUGGAAAAAUAAGAGACCAGAAUAGCCAAAGCAAUACUUAGUGAGUGAAGCAGGUGGCAUCACAAUACCAGACCUUAAACUAUACUACAGAGCAAUAGUAACAAAAACAUCAUUGUAUUGGCACCAAAAUAGAUUGGUAUACCAAAUGGUACAGAUAGAGGACACAGAGACAAACCCACAUAAAAACAGUUAUCUCAUACUAGACAAAGGCACCAAAAACAUAUACUGGAGAAAAGAUAGCCUCUUCAACAAAUGGUGCUGGGAAAACUGGAAAUUCAUAUGCAUCAAAAUGAAAUUAAGCCCCUAUUUCUCACCAUGCACAAAAUUCAACUCAAAGUGGACAAAGGACCUAGGAAUUAGACCAGAAACCCUAUGCCCCAAAGAAGAAAAAGUAGGCCCAAAUCUUCAUCAUGUUGGAUUAGGCCAUGAGUUCCUGAAUAAGACUCCUAAAGUGCAAGAAAUAAAAUCAAGAAUCAAUAAAUGGGAUGGAUUCAAACUAAAAAGCUUCUUGUCAGCAAAAGAAACAAUCAGUGAGGUAAAGAGAGAGCCUACAGAAUAGGAGGAAAUUUUUACCACACACACAUCAGAGAGAGCACUAAUCUCCAGGUAUAUAAAGAACUCAAAAAACUUAGCACCAAAAACAUAAAUAACCCAAUCAAUAAAUGGGCUAAGAAACUGAACAGACAUUUCUCAGAAGAUAUACUGUCAGUUAACAAACAUAUGAAAAAUAUUCAACAUCUCUAGCAAUUAGUGAAAUGCAAAUCAAAACUAAGAUUUCAUCUCACUCCAGUCAGAAAGCCAGUUAUUAAGAAUACAGGUAACAAUAAGUGUUGGUAAGGAUGUGGGGGAAAAAGCACACUCGUACAUUGCUGGUGAGACUGCAAAGUAUUGCAACCAAUCUGGGAAGCAGUAUGGAGAUUCCUUAGAAAACUUAGAAUGGAACCAUCAUUUGACCCAGCUAUCCCACUCCUGGGUUUAUACCCAAAGGACUGAAAAUCAACAUACUACAGUGACGUAGCCACAUCAAUGUUUAUAACAGCACAAUUCACAAUAACUAAAUUGUGGAACCAACCUAGAUGCCCUUCAAUAGAUAAAUGGAUUAAGAAAGUUGGUAUAUAUACACAAUGGAAUACUACUCAGUGUUAAGAGAGAAUAAAACCAUGGCAUUUGCAGGUAAAUGGAUGGAGUUGAAGAAUAUCAUGCUAAGUGAAGCCAAGCCCACAAAACCAAUGUUUUCUCUGAUAAGUGGAUGCUGAUCCAUAAUGCGUGGUGUGUGUGUGUGUGGGGGGGGGAGGCGGCAGGAUGGGAGGAAUGGAAGAACUUUGAAUAAGGCAAAGGAGUGGUAGGGAAGGGAGGAGGCAUAAGGGUAGGAAAGAUGGUAGAAUGAGAUGGACAUCAUUACCCUAGGUACAUGUAUGAAUACACAAAUGGUGUGAUUCUAUUUUGUGUACAACCAGAGAAAUGAAAAAUUGUGCAAUUGUGCACCAUUUGUGUACUAAGAAUCAAAAUGCAUUUUGUUGUCAUGUAUAACGAGUUAGAAAAAAUAAAUUUAAAAAAGAUAAAAAUCACACAGAAUAUAUAUCUGCUCUUUUACUGGAAAGGGUUUACAACCUUUAGUCAUUUGUUUCAUGAGAAGUUGCUCAUAUGAAGGCAUUGGUGUCUUGAUGAUAUUCCUGUACUGGAGAACUAUAAUUAGAAUUCCCAUAAAUUUAGAAAGAGCUUUCCUUUAUUCAGCCAAUAUUUGAUUUUUAGUUGAUAGCAUAUGUGUAGAGUUAUGCAUCUGAAAGAACUUUAUAAAUUCAGUAUGCAUGCUUUUGGCAGGCAAAAUUAUUUUAAAAUAUAGUACUAAUAGAAAAUUCCACUUUUAUUUUCUUAAAAAAUGGAAAUUUCUCUUCAAGUCAAAGUAUUUCCUACAUUAAAUGAAGUAAACCAGUGGCCAAAAAUAAGACUGGAAUUUUAAGCAUUAGGAAACUAUGUGCUAACUCCAUUGUAAUAUAGUGAUAGACUUUAUGAAUGCUGAAAAAGAUUAAAUUCAAGGAGUCAGGAUUUUCAGAAUCAUCAUUAGGUUCUUAAGACAGAUGCAAUGUAAAGUGCAUUUAAUGCAUCCAGUUAUAUUGGUUUGAUGGGAAUUAUUUUUUUAAGAACCAUUAACUUGUUAAAAUGUUUAUAUGCUCACUAUAUAAAUUUCUAAAUCUAUUUCUGAGUGAACUUAAUUUUUACUAGGCAGAAUUAUCAUAACUUGCCAGAAUUAUCAUCUGUGUACGUAUAUGUGUAUAUUAAAAAUGCACACAUACAGAUACUUAUAUAGCAUUCCACUUUACAAACUCAUGAAGUGUGAUUAGUAGGUGUAGGUGCCUAUUUCCAAAGUAAUUAUACCAGAAAAAUCUGUUAAAGAAGACUUGGUCCCUACAAAACUAUGGACAAAUUAGUGCUUACACUGACCACCUUGCAUGUUUAGAGAAACAGGAGGCUUUGUUCUUAUAUAUUCUUAUAUUGUUGAGUAUAGACUUAAUAUAAUCAUUUCAAUUGAGUUUAUUCCACUCAUGACUGUCAUAACUCUUAAGUUAUUUUCCUAUUGCCCAAAGGACAAAGCUUUCUAUCAAAAACAACCGCAGCAGUCUCUGCCACAGGUAGAUAUUCUUUUUUUGUGCAUUUUAACCAGAUUAUAAUAAUGUUAGUAGAAUAAACAAUAACCUAAUAUGUACAAUCUAAAAAUUACAAGUAAGAUAUAUCAGCUGUAGACUAAUGGGCAUUUGUAUUAUUUUUCAAUGAGACGAUACACAGAAGGGACACCGUAGUGAUAAAGACGGGUGUAUGUGUGAGGAAGUGAAGAGAUUUUGUAGGUUUUUGUUGCAAAGCUAGUUAGAAAUAUGCUGGGGCAGAAAUCUUCACCAUUUGACCUUCCCUUAUCACCAAGUUAGGAUUAAUUCUUGUGAGCAAUUACUAAGAAUUCACUUAUACGAGAAUGCUGCUAGAAAUGUAAAAAAGAAAAGUCGCAAAGAAAUAAUUCUUGGCCCUGCCCCACUAGAGAGAGCAGAAUAGACUGCAUUGUUUUUUUUAAUUUAAUUUUAUAUUUUUUUUAUUGGUUGUUCAAAACAUUACAAAGCUCUUUACAUAUCAUAUUUCAUACAUUUGAUUCAGGUGGGUUUUGAACUCCCAAUUUUACCCCAAAUACAGAUUGCAGAAUCACAUUGGUUACACAUCUACAUUUUUACAUAAUGCCCUAUUAGUAACUGUUGUAUUCUGCUACCUUUCCUAUCCUCUACUAUUUCCCCUCCCCUCCCCUCCCAUCUUCUCUCUCUACCCCAUCUACUGUAAUUCAUUUCUCUCCUUGUUUAUUUUCCCAUUCCCCUCACAACCUCUUAUAUGUAAUUUUGUAUAACAAUGAGGAUCUCCCUCCAUUACCAUGCAAUUUCCCUUUUCUCUCCCUUUCCCUCCCACCUCAUGUAUCUGUUUAAUGUUAAUCUUUUCUUCCUGCUCUUCCUCCCUGCUUUGUUCUUAGUUGCUCUCAUUAUCAAAGAAGACACGGGGUGAAAGGCCAUUAAUGGCUCUUCCUUACUCUUCUCCUGAAAGUCUGUCUCCAGAAGCGGCUAAGCCCACAGCCAGCAUCUUGCUGGCUGAGAAAGGAGUAAAAGCCUCAAGAUGGAAAGGAGAGACUCCCUAGGAUGAAUCGGAACAAGCAGGUGCCCACAGUUCAGGCUUGAUCCCUGGCUCCAUUUUGGAUCUUUCUCAUCUAAGGCUGAAGCAGGUCACGUUUGAGGGUCUUCAGGCUCAGGUCCCUGCUGGGCUUGGGGAUCACCGCAGGACACGGGGAGGGCGGGCACGAUGCCCCACACUGGGACCCUGGCCUACACCAAGGUUCUCGGCAAAAUGCUCGCAAGCUGUGCACUUCGUUACAAAGGAAAAGGCCGGUCGGGUCGCCACUCCUUGUUGGUGGUCCUCUUCCAGCACCUUCAGUGUGGACGGAGCGAAGGCUCUUCAAACCCACACCUACGCGAGGCCAAUGGCGCCUGGGCCCCGCCACGAAGCGGCGAGCGCUCCCGGAGCCACAGCUGCCAAAGUGCUGGCGGCAAAGCCGCAACCGCUAGCGCUUCGGGAGCGACCUCGGAGCGGUCAGGCUCCCAAGCCAGAGAAAGCCUCGCUCCGGUGGGUAAACGACCCUGCCCCGCAAGGACCCCUCCUCCACGGGCGCGGACCCUCAGCCGACAGAGCUGACCGCGCGGCACGCAUGCGCAGGGCUCACGCCCUCCCAGCCCUGCGCCUGGCAAAGGGCGCGCCCACCCGGAGGCCGAUACCUGAAGCGCGGGCGUUCGCGAGGUCAGAGCCCGGGCCAGGACGCUUCGGAGGGGCAGCAUGGCGCAGCGUGGGCCGCUGAGGAAGGCAGCCAGCUGGCGUCCGACGUGACGCUCUCCUCGUACGGCUUCCUGACUGGAAAGGCGCAGCGAAGGGACAGUUAGAGGGCGUGGGCGGGGGCGGGACUCGGCGGGUCAGCUCCGCCCCCGCCCUGGAGGUGCAUCCCUGGGGCCAGUGUGCAGGAGUGUGGUGCCAGCCCUGACUCAGGGUUUCCCCUUUGUUUCCUCGACGGUUUGUGCCCCAGACGUCAGAGUUGAUGUUAGUGUAGCUGAAAGCGGAGUUCAUGCUUGUUUCACCUUCUGGUCUGUCGCCUCCUCAGGGCGCUGUUGUGUAAACGUUCCGGGUAGAGCGCCUAUGAGCAGGAAGGUGCUGUAUGGAUGCCUGCAUGUGCAGGCUUUGCAUUUAGUCAUGGUUUUUUUAAUUUAUUUAUUUAUUUAUUUAUUUAUUUAUUUUAUUUUACAGAGAGCAGAGCUGGGAGUCUUAACUUGUCUUCACUGAAGGUAUUCUCCAUCCCACUUGCCAGCCCAGCAUGGCUUUGAAGGCUCCCAAAGGUUUGAAUUAAACUUUCCAAGAGCCAAAAGAAUGGGUGCACUGAACCUGACAUAUGAAACUCAAAUUUAAACUUGCAUAGAUUGAAAUAAAAUAUUUCUAUAAUACUUGAAAUAGAACUGCUGACUUCUCAGGUGGUCCUCUGAUUAUUGGUCCCCCCCCAUCUUGGUUUAACAAUUUUAAAGCUGUUACUCUCAUUAAUGUUCAUAUUAAAAUUAAUUUUCUUGUUAACUUAUAUUAGUAUACAUUAUAUUAAUAUUUACAUUAUUCUUGCUAGUAGUCACUUUAUGCACAUGUUUAAGCAACAUUGUUUACAUCAUGAAGCUGUAAUUAUUACAACCUUACCACCUGUGCUUAUGAAAGGAAGACUUUUUUAAAAAAUUUAUUUGUUCUAAUUAGUUAUGCAUUACAGCAGAAUUCGUUUCAAUACGUUGUAUGCAAAUGGAGCACAAUUUCUAAUUUCUCUGGCUGUACAUGAUGCAGUCACACUGGUGCUGCAAUCAUACAUAUACACAAGGUAAUGAUGUCCCUCUCCUUCUACCAUUCUUCCCACCCUUACACUCCCUCUCCUCCCCUCACUCGCUUCUGCCCAAUCCAAAGUUCCUCCAUUUUUCCCUAGCUCUACUCCUCCAUUAUGGAUCAGCAUCCACAUAAUCAGAAAACAUUUGGCCUUUGGAUUUUUGUGGAUUUUUGUAUUAUUUCACUUAGCAUGAUAUUCUCCAACUUCAUCCAUUUACCUGCAAAUGCCAUAAUUUUAUUCUUCUUUAAGGCUGAGUAAUAUUCUACAGUUUGUUUGUCCAUUCAUCUGUUGAAAGACAUCUAGGUUGGUUCCAUAGUCUAGCUAUUAUGAAUUGAGCUUCUAUAAACAUGGAUGUGGCUGCAUCACUGUAGUAUGCUGAUUUUAAGUCCUUUGGGUAUAAACUGAGGAGUGGGAUAGCUGGGCCAAGUGCUGGUUCUGUUCCAAGUUUCUAAGGAAUCUCCAUACUGUUUUCUAGAGUGGUUGCACCAAUUUGCAGUCCCACCAGCAAUGUAUGAGUGUACCUUUUCCCCUACAUCCUUGCCAACACUUAUUGUUGCUUAUAUUCUUAAUAUUUGCCAUUCUGAUUGUAAUGAGAUGAAAUCUUAGAGUAGUUUUAAAUUGUAUUUCUCUUUGCUAAACAUGUUGAAUUUUUUUUCAUAUAUUUGUUGAUCAAUUGUAUAUCUUCUUCUGUGAAGUGCCUGCUCAGUUUCUUAGCCCAUUUAUUGAUUGGGUUAUUUGGGCUUUUUUUUUUUGGUGUUAAGUUUUUUGAAUUCUUUAUAUAUCCUGGAUAUCACUGCUGUAUAUGAGAUUGGAGUGGUAAUCUUCCAUUCUGUAGGCUCUCUCUUCAUGUUAUUGAUUGUUAAGACUUCUUUAGGGCCGGGGAUGUGGCUCAAGUGGUAGUGUGCUCGCCUGGCAUGCGCAGGGCGCUGGGUUUGAUCCUCAGCACCACAUAAAAAUAAAAUAAAGAUGUUGUGUCACCGAAAUCUAAAAAAUAAAUAUUAAAAAAUUCUCUCUCUCUUUAAAAAAAAAGACUUUUUAAAAGUAGUAAUUCUGGUGGAGGUGCUUCAGGAUGUUUUAGAAUGGAUUUUAUAAGUAAGUUCAUUUUCUUAGCCUUCUUUCAUCCUGAAAUUAACAAUUCAUUUUCUCAUUGAUAAAAUAUUUUAAAAAUUCCUUCUAUUCUCUAGGUACUUUUCCAGAAAUGGAUCCAGAACUUUACAUAAGACAUAAUUCAUUUCCUCUUGAAACUUUCAGCUAGCACAAAACAGAAAUACAGUCACUUCUCAUAUUCACAAGUCCAGAAUUGGUGGACUCAACCAAAGAUGGAAGGAGAAUAUUGGUAAAAAUGUUGUGUCUGUACUGAAUAUAUACAGAUUUUUUCCCCCUGGACAUUAUUAACUAAACGAUAUAGUUUAACAAUCAUCUAAAGAUGAUUGAAAGCAUUCAGGAAGAUAAGUGUAAUGUUGUUUGCAUUUUAUAUAAAGGAUCUGGGCUGGGUGAGAUGGCACAUACCUGUAAUCCAAGCAGCUUGGGAGGCUGAGACAGGAGGAUCAGGAGUUCAAAACCAGCCUCAGCAAAAGUGAGGUGCUAAGCAACUCAGUGAAACCUUACCUGUAAAUAAAAUACAAAAUAGGGCUGGGGAUGUGGCUCAGCGGUCUCGUGCCCCUGAAUUCAAUCCCUGGUACACUCCCCCUAACCCCCCAAAAAAGAAUUUGGCCAUCUGUGAAUUUUGUUAUCCUCUUUGUAUCCUGAAUCCAGUAACUUACAGAUACUGUGGGUCAGCUGUCUAUCAGAGUUUAAUAAAUAGUGUGAAGAAAAUAUAGUAGAAUAUGAAGAGCAGAAAGUACUGGAGGAGAUAAAAGAGACUCCUGGCUAUUUCUCAAUAUAUAUUCUUUCCUUUCACCUUUUAUUUUCUUUAUUAAAUGUUUGUAUUAGUGCAUUAUAGUUAUACAAAAUAGUGGGGUUCAUUUUGACACAAUCAUACCUGCAUGGAAUAUAAUUUUCUCCAUUUUAGUUCUCAGUGCUUCCUCUUUCCUUCCCUUUUACCCUCCAUUUCCCUUCCUCUACUCUGCUGGGCUUCCUUCUGUUAAAUUAUUGUCUUUAAAAAUUGAUACACAUACUGGUGAAAUUUUUAGAUACACAUAUAGGUGGAAUUCACGGUGGUACACUCAUAUAUGUACAUAGCAUAAUUUUGUCAGUUUCAUUCCACAUUUCUUCUACUUUCUGGUUCCUCAUUCCCACCUCUCAAUCUCCUUCUUCUCCUCCACUGAUAUUCCCUCUAUUUUCAUGUAACUCACCGCCCCGACCACUUUCCCCCCUUACUUUGCUCUGCAUUCUGCAUAUGAGAGAAAACAUUUGACCAUUGACUGAGUUUGGCUUAUUUCGCUUAGCAUGAUGCUCUCCAUUUCCAUCCAUUUACCAUUAAGUACCAUAAUUUCAUUCUUCUUUAUGGCUGAUAAAACUCUUUUGUGUAUAUAUACCACAUUUUCUUAAUCAGUUCAUUUGUUGUUGGGCACCUGGGCUGGUCUCAUAAGUUGGCUAUUGUGAAUUGUGCUACUAUAAACAUUGAUGUGCCUAUAUCACUGUAGUAUGCUGAUUUUAGUUCUGUUGGAUAAAUAUUUAGGAAUUGGAUGGGUGGAUCAUAUGAUGGUUCUAUUUCUAGUCUUUUGAGGAAUCUCCAAACUGCUUUCCAAAGUGAUUGUACUAACUUAUAACCUCACCCACAGUGUAUGAGUGUACCUUUCUUUCUACGUCCUUGCCAGAAUUUGUUAUUACCUAGUUCAGGGUGAACUCUCAGUGUAGUUUUGUUUUGUAUUUUCCUGAUUGUCAGGGAUGUUGAACUUUUUUUCAUACAUUUUUUUUCUUGGUGUAGAACAUUUAUUUUAUUUUUUCCAUGAAACACUCAAAAGUUCAGAUCUGUGGGAAAUAAUUUUAAUCAAAGAAUUAUACAUUUUCUUCCCACAUAUCCUGCUUUGUAUUAUGAAAUGACAUUGUGAUCCAUUUCACUACAAGUAAAAUUAUUACAAAAUAUUUACAGGAAAAUAUUAAAAAUAACCCAAACACAAAAGGCAAGAUGAAAUAAACUGGGUUUUCAGAAAUCUCUACUCCAGUGCCCACAGCACACAAGAAGAGAGUCAAAACAAAUAAGUAACUAAGACUCCCCUGAUCACAAAUUUCCAAAGAACUGGAGAAGGGGAAAAAACUGAACGAAGAUGGUAGUGUGAAAGGAAAUGGAUGUUAGCAGCACUGCUGCAAUAGCCAAUCUAUUCUGAGUGAAAUAACCUCUUAUGUGCAGUAAAUUCUGAACAAGGCUAUAUUUUAGGAUUUUCCUUGAACUGAAAUUAGAAAAUAACCUGACAGUGGAAGUAGCUCUUUCACCUAAGUUUAAUAAGAGCCUCUUGCUCCACAAACCACUGUGGUGAACAGAAGCCUGUUCUGACAUCAAAAGCUGUCACAGCAGCCCUUCUGUUUCUUUCAUGAAAGCUUCAUAAACAUCAUCCUUAGUUUGUACUGAGAUAGGGACAGAAGGACCAGAUUUGGGGGCUGCUUUGGCAAGAGGCACAGCAGAAUCAUCCUCUGACUUUCUUUGGGUGUAGCAGUAGCCCCUUUUUUCUCCCGAUGUACAAAUCGAGUAAUCUCUGCCUUGGGAUUAGUGAUCUGUGGCUUGGCACUGAUAGUUGCUGUGGCUUUCUUCUCAGUGGUGGCUGCACUUGUAUCAUCCG